UAACAUCCCAUCUCACAUCAACCAACGGAGAGGGGUUGAUGUGCCUUAUAUGUACAUGUCCACUUUCAUCUAGCACGAGGCCUUUUGGGUGCUCACUGGCUUUGGAGUUAUGAGAACUCCGAAGUUAAGCGAGUUUGGACUAGAGCAAUCUCAGGAUGGAUGACCCACUGAGAAGUUGCUCGUGAGUUCCCAGAAACAAAACCGUGCGGACAAAGAAGGAGACUCAAAACGAACAAUAUGGUGCUACGGCGAAAUCGGAAUGUGACAUAACAUCAUGUAUUAAUAGUGGCCAAAGUCCCGAUCAUGAUCCUACCGAAGAAAGAAGAAAAUAAUGAAAAAAAAAAACAAUCCUUAGCAAACACUUUAAUAAGAUUUAAAUAGAAUAUGAUUCGGGGCACUACUGUGCGUAGUGUCUUUGUAGAAAACCGACAUAAAGAAAUAGAGAAAAUCGAACUUAUCCUCUGCAGAGACAGAGAUGCCUUAACCUGCAGCAUGUGUCGAUAAAUUAUGGCUCCGAUGAUUAGCCUUCAUAUUUUAAGAACAAAUUCUCAUUGACUUUAUCAUGCCACAACUACAUGCAUGCAUGGCUCCCACUCAACUGAAGCACUCAAUCUGAACAAGUCAACGCCCUUCUUUUCUUUCCAACUAUAUGUAGAAGCAAAAAUGAUGUAAAAUAUGAGCUUCCCAUAAAAAAAGGUACAUAUAUUCCAAAAGUGGAAGAGCUUUAACUGUCACACGAUGGAAUAGAAUCAUACCUUUAAUUUUUGAGGUAUGAGUUGUCUGCAUGCAGUCUAUGGCUAUAAAUAGGAUGACAAUGCUGCAUUAUGUAAAUGAACUGAAGUGGUUCAGAGCGAUUAAUAAAAAUACCAUUUGUUCAAGAGUCUUGCAUGAGGAGAUGGAGAGUAGAUAUGAGCCAAGGAUGACUUGCCAAAGCAUAUGGCCUUUCCACUUGUUUAUCUUCUGGCAAGCUGUCCUUGGUUCACGUUUGCUCUCUUUUCUCUCAUGUGAGAUUCAAGGACCAACGCCUACAACUGGAGAGGGGGGAGAAGAAUUUACUUUAUAAUUGUGAUGCUAACGCAAAUUUUUGCUUGUGUUUUCUGUCUGCAGCAACUGGAGGAGUUAAAUCAUAACGUGUUUCCGCGAUUUCCCUUUUGUGAGAGCCUUGUGGUUGAUAAAAUCGUAGCAUUCAACACAAAACUAAUUGAAAUUGGUGGAGAAAUUAUAAGCUCAGUAAGGCGCAUGACUUUACAUCUCUCCCGUGGGAUAUGCCCCCCUCAACACACUCAUUGACAUUCCAGCCAUUGAGCAUGACAUUGUUGUUAUGCAGAACCCUCAAUCCUGGACAUAUAAAUUUCAUGCACUCCUCUUGUAAGUUCAUCUUUAUUUUACUUUUGGUAAACAUAAUUUGAUGUUAUUUAUUUAUUUUAUUCAAAUAGUUCUGAUCACAUCUCAGACUUCUGUGCGUUUUUCCUGAAGUCCCAAUUAUUUCAAGAUUUUUUUUUUUUGGUGCAAUGACACCUGCAAAUGUCUAACAUAUUCCUUAUGGAAUGUCUUUGUAGGGUUCCGAGUGUGUAGGGAAGGCUAGAGAAAAGAAGUCCAGUAGUCUUUCUCGCUUACAGAUGCAGAGAGUGUGGCUGCAAUGACAUCUAUUUGGGUCAGGGCAUUCAGACGAUGAUGAUUUGCAGGGAAAUCUAAUUACUUUAUACCUUGCUUCAGCUCCAUAUUGUAUCCCUACCACAAAAUUUUCCUUCAAUUAUUAACUAAAUAUCUUGUCUACAAAACUACUAACAAUACAUGUAAAAAUUGAGAUUAGAUAAAAACACACACGCAAAAUUUGCAUACAUACAUACAUACAUACAUGUAUAUUGUUGCUACUUGGUAAAAUUAUUUGGGAAAAGUAUUUUACCAGAAGAGGCAACAACCAAGAGAACAACCAGGAAAGUUAACUUGAGUGAUUUCUCCAUAUCUGUUCAAUUUGUUGAUAGCAAGAGGGAAGAAACUAGAGGGUUGUAGCGCCUCUCCAAACUAAAACCUACGAUUUUAUAUAACGUUCUGCCGUGUCGUAAGGUUUGGACUCUACGGAUUCAUGCUUGGAUUUGGUAAAGAAAUAAAUAUAAUAUAUCGACCCAAGUGGUAACUAAGUUCACUUUCAGAAUCAUAUUCAGACUUCAUUAGUUCAUUAUGCUGAAUAAUG
rnacentral:lncRNA from 1 species